rnacentral:tRNA from 1 species
CCAGCGCCUGGCGGAGCGGGUGCACGCCGCGCUCCCGCCCCGGCACGAUGCGUAUGGUCUCGCCGUCGAAGGUCCAGGUCCCGUCGUUCUGGA